ensembl:lncRNA
GAGAGAGAGAGAGAAAACCAGUAGAUAGGCUAGACCAGAUAAAGAAUAGAGAAAGCUAGUAUUUUUUUUUUUUUUUUUUAAUGAAAACAAGCAGUGAGAAAACAAAUAGAGAGUGCAAGUGUUAGAGAGUCAUACAUAAGCAGGCUUUGUAAUAGGCUAAAUAGGGGGUUGAAUGUUCGUAAAAAAAAAAAAAAAAAAAAACCACCAAAUCUUAAACUACUUUAACUAUAAAACUUAAUCUUUUUAUACUUUUAUACUUAUUAUCACUGUAAAAGUGAUGUUUUAUCUGACUCACGUGCAGGGGUGGCGUUUUUCACCUGUGAAUGGGUCAUGGAACUACGAAAAAAACCUUAAAUUGAUUAUUUAAUAAUUUAAUUAGAUUUAAGUUAUUUAUUAACGAAAUCUUUGUUUAGCCUAUGUAAAUUCCGCGUGCUUUAAUGAGCGCGCGCUGAACAUUGGAGUAGCGUUCAUUCAGAUUCAAACACUGGAGCGGAGGGAGUUGCCAUGGAAACGGGGCGACCGACAACACUGGCAAGCUGCAAGCUCCGUUUCUUGCUGCUGUUUUCACUGCUUUCGGUAAGUUUAGUCCAUGAAAAUCGCACAAAUAUCAUAUGCCACUGUGCCUGACACUUCUUUUGCUUGUAUUUGACCCGCAUCUGUUGAAUUUACUCCAUAGAAAUGGUGUAGUGUUUUCGAACAAGUCCGUAAGCAUCUUAACCGUUAUCCGAGGAGGUAACGUAACGUAUGCUAACUCCAUAGACUGAGCUCUUUAUGAAAAGUUAGGGAUUUUAAUAACACAUUUAUGUGUAGAUGAGAGGCUUUGACAGUUCUGUAAAAGUUUUGCUGGUAAUUUUUCAAUGGAUGAUUGAAAAUAGGCUUUUUUAUUUAACCUAAAUAUACACUAAGGUUACCGUUAAUCGGUGACGUCAUUACAUCAGCGGUACAGUUCAAACGCAUUUUGAUCUCGUCUAAUGAUAAACAAAUAUUGAUAAAAACUGUUCAGGAUAUUUAUUAAAUACAUAUUCUUUAUCUUUUCUACAUUUCACCUGUGCUCUAGCUUGGUUCCUUGUGAUAAAACUGGCAUUGUAUACUGAAUAUUGUUGGCUCUGUGACAGAUUGCUUGUUAUAUUUCCAGAUUCUUUCGUGCUUGAUGUUCUUCUGCAUCCCAGAGUCUGAGCAAACCUCCUGUCCAACAACAUCUCCAAGACACACUGAACCAUACGGCUAGCAGCCUCGCGUGUGAAGACUUCAGAAGAUGCCAGACCUCACAAAGAUUUCAGAUGAUGGCAACUAUAGAUGAACUUGCAAAGCUGCUUAAUAAUCCUUAUAUUGUAAUCAUUGCCCUAAAAGGACGGAUCUUAUCAGCAAAUCUACUUCACAGCACAUCAGUGAAAACAGUUGACAGUUACAGACGGGUGUGUUGGAUCAGGUUCAGAUCUGAAUUCUGAUGGUUUUCUGGGAUGACAGUUGAAGAGAUCAGCACAUCAGAUGUUGGUCUGGACAGCUGUACCUACAGUACACCACAGUGACCUCUCUGCUUUUGCAUGGAUGGCUGACUACUACCAUGUUCUGUGAAGGUAUUAUUAUAGCAAACCUGAGCACCUGUGACAGUGGAAUAGUUGUAAUGAAUAGUCACACAUGCAUAUUGGUAAAUUUAAAGUCACAGAUAAUUUUUUUUAGUACUAGCAAUAUUUUUAUUUUAAAUUUUUUACUAAUUCUCUCCAGCAAACACAACACAACAGUUACACCAUUUCAAAUUCUGAGGUGCACAAAUCCUAUUCUACAAAUAAGAGAACAACAGUAUAAAAGUGCUCAGUUUAGCCCCUUUCACACUGAGAUUCCAGAUGAUACACGGGUAAUUGUUCCCGGAUCGUUAGAUUUUGGUUCAUUCACACUGCCAGUGAGUGCGUUCACACACAACCGGUAAAGGUCCCAUAAUGAUACGAGACAUCAGGAUGUGAUGUGUAAUGUACGAGUUGAAAACGCUAGGCCGCCAAAAAACGGAAGAAGGAGAAGAAGCAAACCAGAAGUGUUUUCAAUACUUUAUAAACAUGGCAGCUGAUCAGCUACUGGGGCCAUUGUUGUUUAUGUAUAAAGCAUCUUCCACACAGAAAUUCCGGAAAAUACACCAAUAAUGUGUUCCAGGAUCCUCUAAUUGUGGUUCAUUCACACUGCCAGUAAUUUUCUGGAAUCUGUGUGUGCGUUCACACACAACCCAUAAAGAUCCCGUAAAGACACGUGACAUUACGAUGUGACGUGUUUUGUUUCACUUAAACUGGUGAACGAUCUCAGCUUCAGCACGGAUAGUGAGGAACUAACUGAUCUCUGCUUCAUUACAAUUUGCACAUUUUUUUCGUCACGAAUGUUGAUCUGCCUUCAAAACACCUGCUAAAAGAGUCGCAUGAUAACGUGCGUCAUCACUACGACACAUCCUUUACGCCAUUGGUUCUGGCUUUUGUUCACACAGAGCUCGUUCUAGGUAAGGUAAGUGCUAGUAUCAGUGGUGGAGGUGCUGAGGAAAAAAAAAAAAAGAGGUGUCUUUAAGAGGUGUUUUUGGAAAAUGGCUGAAGACUCAGAUGCUCGAAUUGAGAAAGGCAGGUCAUUCUACCAUGAUCUUAUCUACAAAUACUACUGUUCUCAUAAAGUCUGUAAAUAUGUCCAGUUCUAAUAAACACACAUUUCAGGAAAAAAUAAUUCAAUAAUAUGACCAAAAUGAAAUACAGCCCUGCAUAAAUCUGGUAUAACUGAGUCUGUGAAUUUCUUAAUUUGUGAUUUGUAGAAUAGGAUUUAUGCACCUGCAAUGAAGAUUUUGAGAAGGUUUUGUUGUGUUUGUGAGAGAGAAAGAAACAAAAUACAAGCUUGUAACUCCAAAAACAUUUUCUUGAUAACUUUACUGAAAUAUUCUCUACAAAUACAAAUUCCACUGUCACAGGUGCUCAAUUUUGUUACAAUAAUGUACAAAGUGUCUCAAAUGUACUAUAGAUGUACUGUAUGCAAAUAAAACAAAGGGACAUUAACAACUGAAUAUUCAGGGGAUGGAAACUUAUCACCUUUAAGUAAAAUUGAAUUUUGAAUCUAAAUAUCAUUUGCAUGAUUUGUGUAGAUCCAAAAGAGUUUUUAAAAGUGCAUUAGUUAAAUAGCACAUGCUAAAUAGCACAAGGCAUAUUUUACAUGUUAUUUACAUAAUAAAAAGAUAAGGGAAACAUGUUUUACAUCAAGUGUUGCCAUUUUAUAUGAAAAUAUACAAAAGAUAAUAUUUUUGAGGCACAUGAUAAAAAAAUUACCCCCAAACUUGAGGGAAAUGUAAUAAUGGAGUGAUGGUUAAUGUAUAAAAAAAGCAACUAAAAACUAACUUUAUUGUCUUAUUUGUCUGUCUGCUGAUAUUUAAUUGUGGGUUACAUCGUCACCUUUUUCAAACCUGACCUGAAUAGUUCACAUCCCUGAUAUUACAAAGAACUUAAGUUUUAAUUGGUAAUAACAUUUUUAUUCAGUGAAUAUGGUUUUUAAUUUGUUACUUGACACUAUUUAUAUUAGCCUAUAAUAUACUUUAUACCUUUAUACCUCUUUGUGUGUGUAUUUGUGUGUAAAUGCAUUUUCUUUGCUAGACAUAGAAGGUUUGUGCUCUAAACAUGUAUUUGUAACAGUGUUUAAACUGUAUUCGUAUUGUAUAAAUAAUAAAGAAAUUAUGACUGAAUGUGAUGUGUGUUUAAUAAAUUAUUACAUAUACAGGCUAAUUUAUUUAGUACUAAGUAUGUG